ACCACCAGUCAAGUGAAGGAAGAUAAGAGAACCCAGUUGACAAAAAAAGUAAGAACAUUUGUAUCUUUCAAUAUAGGUGAACAUUUCAAAUAUAGCUGCAGAGAGUUGAACUGAAAGUUAGAAGCUGUUUUUAUCUGCCGUCUAUGUAUAUUUUCCUCUUUAACUCUGUUGUCUUUUCUCUUUUUUCUACAUCAACUCAUGUCACAUGACUUGAGUUGACCAGCAAUUAAGGCAGAAGAUCUACUAUAUCUGCUGAUUGACUGGUUGUAACAGGUUGUGGAGAAGCAUGACUGAAACAAGACAGCAGCGCUGGACCAAUCAGGAGAGAGAAGACAGAAGAUCCUGCUGAAAUUCCAGAGAUUUAAUGAAGAAGAGUUUCCUGAUACAACAGAGGGACAUCUGAGGACGGGAUGCAGAAUAAAGAGACACUGAUCAUGUGAAGUUGGAUCUCCCGAGCCUGUAAACCUCCACCUUCAACACCAUCAGUUAGGUGGAGGAAGAUAAGAGAACCCAGUUGACAAAAAAACAAUUAAAGCAGAAGACCUGCUCCACCUGCUAAUCUACUGGUUGUAAAAGAUUGUGGAAACGGUGAGGACAUGAUGAUGACUUCAUCAGAAAGUCUCCUUCAUUCAUCUGUUCUUUAGACAGAAAUUAAAGAAUGUGUGUCUGAUCAUGUGAUGAUUCUCCAACAUUACUGAGAUAAGACAACAGGAUUGGACCAAUCAGGAAACAGGACUGAGGAGACACAGAAAAUCCUGCCGAAAAUCCCGAGAAGAAGUUUCCUGAUGGAACAGGAGGACGCCUGAGGACAGAAUAAAGAGACACAGAUCAUGUGAAGUUGGGUCUCCUCAGCCUGUAAACCUCCAUCUUCAACACCACCAGUCAGGAGGAGGAAGAUAAGAGAACCUAGUUGAGAAAAAAAGUAAGAAAACAUAUUUUUAUCCAGCUAACAAUUUUAAAUAUGGAUGAAACAGCGGUCAAAUUUCAAAACUGUUCUUUCUUCUGUCCAUUCUCUCUAACCCUGUUGUCUUUUCUACAUCAACUCAUGUCACAUGACUUGAGUUGAACAGCAAUUAAGGCAGAAGAUCUACUAUAUCUGCUGAUUGACUGGUUGUAACAGGUUGUGGAGAAGCAUGACUGAAACAAGACAGCAGCGCUGGACCAAUCAGGAGAGAGAAGACAGAAGAUCCUGCUGACAUUCCAGAGAUUUAAUGAAGAAGAGUUUCCUGAUACAACAGAGGGACAUCUGAGGACGGGAUGCAGAAUAAAGAGACACUGAUCAUGUGAAGUUGGAUCUCCCGAGCCUGUAAACCUCCACCUUCAACACCAUCAGUUAGGUGGAGGAAGAUAAGAGAACCCAGUUGACAAAAAAAGUAAGAAUAUUUAUAUCUUUCAACAUAACUAAACAUUUCAGAUAUUGCUGCAGAGAGUUGAGCUUUAAAAACGGUUUCUAUCUGCUGUCUUUGUAAAAAAUUUUUUAACUCUGUUGUAUUUUCUCUUUAUUUCAAUUCUACAUCAACUCAUGUCACAUGACUUGAGUUGACCAGCAAUUAAAGCAGAAGACCUGCUCCACCUGCUAAUCUACUGGUUGUAAAAGAUUGUGGAAACGGCGAGGACAUGAUGAUGACUUCAUCAGAAAGUCUCCUUCAUUCAUCUGUUAUUUAGACAGAAAUGAAGGAAUGUGUGUCUGAUCAUGUGAUGAUUCUCCAGCAUU